UGGCUCAGAUGGUAAAGCGUCUGCCUGCAAUGCAGGAGACCCGGGUUCAUUCCCUGG
rnacentral:tRNA from 1 species